AUGAACGCUAGCUACAGGCUUAACACAUGCAAGUCGAGGGGCAGCAUGGUCUUAGCUUGCUAAGGCCGAUGGCGACCGGCGCACGGGUGAGUAACACGUAUCCAACCUGCCGUCUACUCUUGGACAGCCUUCUGAAAGGAAGAUUAAUACAAGAUGGCAUCAUGAGUCCGCAUGUUCACAUGAUUAAAGGUAUUCCGGUAGACGAUGGGGAUGCGUUCCAUUAGAUAGUAGGCGGGGUAACGGCCCACCUAGUCUUCGAUGGAUAGGGGUUCUGAGAGGAAGGUCCCCCACAUUGGAACUGAGACACGGUCCAAACUCCUACGGGAGGCAGCAGUGAGGAAUAUUGGUCAAUGGGCGAGAGCCUGAACCAGCCAAGUAGCGUGAAGGAUGACUGCCCUAUGGGUUGUAAACUUCUUUUAUAAAGGAAUAAAGUCGGGUAUGCAUACCCGUUUGCAUGUACUUUAUGAAUAAGGAUCGGCUAACUCCGUGCCAGCAGCCGCGGUAAUACGGAGGAUCCGAGCGUUAUCCGGAUUUAUUGGGUUUAAAGGGAGCGUAGAUGGAUGUUUAAGUCAGUUGUGAAAGUUUGCGGCUCAACCGUAAAAUUGCAGUUGAUACUGGAUAUCUUGUGUGCAGUUGAGGCAGGCGGAAUUCGUGGUGUAGCGGUGAAAUGCUUAGAUAUCACGAAGAACUCCGAUUGCGAAGGCAGCCUGCUAAGCUGCAACUGACAUUGAGGCUCGAAAGUGUGGGUAUCAAACAGGAUUAGAUACCCUGGUAGUCCACACGGUAAACGAUGAAUACUCGCUGUUUGCGAUAUACAGCAAGCGGCCAAGCGAAAGCGUUAAGUAUUCCACCUGGGGAGUACGCCGGCAACGGUGAAACUCAAAGGAAUUGACGGGGGCCCGCACAAGCGGAGGAACAUGUGGUUUAAUUCGAUGAUACGCGAGGAACCUUACCCGGGCUUAAAUUGCAGAUGAAUUACGGUGAAAGCCGUAAGCCGCAAGGCAUCUGUGAAGGUGCUGCAUGGUUGUCGUCAGCUCGUGCCGUGAGGUGUCGGCUUAAGUGCCAUAACGAGCGCAACCCUUGUUGUCAGUUACUAACAGGUUCCGCUGAGGACUCUGACAAGACUGCCAUCGUAAGAUGUGAGGAAGGUGGGGAUGACGUCAAAUCAGCACGGCCCUUACGUCCGGGGCUACACACGUGUUACAAUGGGGGGGUACAGAGGGCCGCUACCACGCGAGUGGAUGCCAAUCCCAAAAACCUCUCUCAGUUCGGACUGGAGUCUGCAACCCGACUCCACGAAGCUGGAUUCGCUAGUAAUCGCGCAUCAGCCACGGCGCGGUGAAUACGUUCCCGGGCCUUGUACACACCGCCCGUCAAGCCAUGGGAGCCGGGGGUACCUGAAGUGCGUAACCGCGAGGAGCGCCCUAGGGUAAAACUGGUGACUGGGGCU
rnacentral:rRNA from 1 species